rnacentral:misc_RNA from 2 species
AACGCAUAUUGCGCUCUUUGGUAUUCCGAAGAGCAUGCUUGUUUGAGUAUCAGUAAACACCUCAAAGCUUUUGGAUUUUUUUAAUCGAAAAGCUUUGGACUUGAGCAAUCCCAACACCAAUCUUUUUGAGAUCGGUGGCGGGUUGCUUGAAAUGCAGGUGCAGCUGGACAUUCUCCUGAGCUAAAAGCAUAUUCAUUUAGUCCCGUCAAACGGAUUAUUACUUUUGCUGCAGCUAACAUAAAGGGAGUUUGACCGUAUUGGCUGACUGAUGCAGGAUUUCACAAGGGUCGGCAACGAUUCUUGUUAAACUCGAUCUCAAAUCAAGUAAGACUACCCGCUGAACUUAA